AAAGUUGUGAAGAUGAAUGAAAGAUUUUUACACGUGUUUUCCAAUCUUUCUUGAUCCUGCUGACCACUUAGUUUUGAUCACAUGAAGAUCUCACUCCCUCUUAAUGUUUGAGGUCUCCUCUUCAAGACGAUGACUUGCAUGUCUGUUCUUCCUUGCUCAAUGGAAUCACGAUCGGCUUACCAAACCCAUUCCUUUUUACUUGUUUUAGUGUUUGUCACCAAUUAGUAGCAUUUAAAACUCAUAUACAUAUAAUAGUUUGAUUAUCUUGUUGCACAAUUGGUUUUUUAUUCUAUCAACGAUAUUUAUGUAAACUUAAUUUAGUUUCAUUGGUCUAGUUUAAUAUUGAUUUUCAUGAUUUUGUUUUUAGCAAGUAGGUAUGGUACCAUGCGUGAUAAUGUCAUCAGUAUCUAAUUGAUGCUCGACACAAAUUUGUAAUGUUGUAUUUCUGAUGUUGGUUCAUCUUCCAGGUAGUUCUUGCAAAUGGAGAUAUUGUUAAGACUGCAUCUCUCCUGCUAGAGAGAGUGCUGCAGGGUUUGUUUCCUAUUCUAUUUUAUCUUUUAGAACUGUGUGGUUGAUCUUCUAGGUAGUUAGGCGUGUUGUGAACAUUAAAAACUUUGCACGUAACUGGUAUGAUUUGACCCGCCUGGUGAUUGGAAGUGAAGAUCGCUUGGUGCAAUAAUGGAAGUCACUCUGCGGCUUCAGAAAAUUCCGUAACACUCUGUGGUUGCUAUGUGUAAUCUCCCUUCAACUAAGGAUGCAACAGAUGUUUCUAUUGCUACAAUGCUGUCGGGAAUUCAGGUUUCAAGGGUUGAACUACUGGAUGAGGUUCAAGUGAGGGCUAUCAACAUUGCGAAUGGGAAGAAUUUGCCUGAAACUACAACUUUGAUGUUCGAAUCUAUAGGCACAGGUUUAGGUCCCUUCUAUCUUGACUGUCAUUUGCUUUUUAUUUUAAAUUUUAAUUUUGGCUAAUUACAUUUAUUGAGAGGAGAACAUCCCAAUCUUGUAGUAGUAAAGUAGUGGUUUUGUGGUUGGUAAAUUAUCUCCUGGUAUCCUUUAUAGGCACUUACA